rnacentral:tRNA from 1 species
UCCCUAGUGGCUCAGAGUGUAAAGAAUCUGCCUGCACUGCAGAAGACCCAGAUUCAAUCCCUGGUUCGGGAA